rnacentral:rRNA from 1 species
AUUGAACGCUGGCGGCAUGCCUUACACAUGCAAGUCGAACGGCAGCACGGGUGCUUGCCCCUGGUGGCGAGUGGCGAACGGGUGAGUAAUACAUCGGAACAUGUCCUGUAGUGGGGGAUAGCCCGGCGAAAGCCGGAUUAAUACCGCAUACGAUCUACGGAUGAAAGCGGGGGACCUUCGGGCCUCGCGCUAUAGGGUUGGCCGAUGGCUGAUUAGCUAGUUGGUGGGGUAAAGGCCUACCAAGGCGACGAUCAGUAGCUGGUCUGAGAGGACCACCAGCCACACUGGGACUGAGACACGGCCCAGACUCCUACGGGAGGCAGCAGUGGGGAAUUUUGGACAAUGGGCGAAAGCCUGAUCCAGCAAUGCCGCGUGUGUGAAGAAGGCCUUCGGGUUGUAAAGCACUUUUGUCCGGAAAGAAAUCCUUGGCCCUAAUACGGUCGGGGGAUGACGGUACCGGAAGAAUAAGCACCGGCUAACUACGUG